rnacentral:rRNA from 1 species
GUGGGGAAUAUUGCACAAUGGGGGAAACCCUGAUGCAGCGACGCCGCGUGAGCGAAGAAGUAUUUCGGUAUGUAAACUUCUAUCAGCAGGGAAGAUAGUGACGGUACCUGACUAAGAAGCCCCGGCUAACUACGUGCCAGCAGCCGCGGUAAUACGUAGGGGGCAAGCGUUAUCCGGAUUUACUGGGUGUAAAGGGAGCGUAGACGGACUGGCAAGUCUGAUGUGAAAGGCGGGGGCUCAACCCCUGGACUGCAUUGGAAACUGUUAGUCUUGAGUGCCGGAGAGGUAAGCGGAAUUCCUAGUGUAGCGGUGAAAUGCGUAGAUAUUAGGAGGAACACCAGUGGCGAAGGCGGCUUACUGGACGGUAACUGACGUUGAGGCUCGAAAGCGUGGGGAGCAAACAGGA